rnacentral:rRNA from 1 species
UACGUAGGCAGCGAUCGUUGUUCGGAAUUACUGGGCGUAAAGAGUGUGUAGGCGGUGCUCUAAGUUCGGUGUGAAAUCUCCCGGCUUAACUGGGAGGGUGCGCCGGAAACUGGAGUGCUCGAACGUGGGAGAGGAAAGCGGAAUUCCUGGUGUAGCGGUGAAAUGCGUAGAUAUCAGGAGGAACACCUGCGGUGUAGACGGCUUUCUGGACCAUUGUUGACGCUGAGACACGAAAGCGUGGGUAGCAAACAGG